rnacentral:rRNA from 1 species
CAGCAGCCGCGGGAAUACGUAGGGUGCAAGCGUUAUCCGGAUUUAUUGGGUUUAAAGGGUCCGUAGGCGGACUUAUAAGUCAGUGGUGAAAGCCUGUCGCUUAACGAUAGAACUGCCAUUGAUACUGUAAGUCUUGAGUAUAUUUGAGGUAGCUGGAAUAAGUAGUGUAGCGGUGAAAUGCAUAGAUAUUACUUAGAACACCAAUUGCGAAGGCAGGUUACCAAGAUAUAACUGACGCUGAGGGACGAAAGCGUGGGUAGCGAACAGGAUUAGAUACCCGAGUAGUCCCUGUCUCUUAUAA